UGACUUCAGUUCCUCUUCCUGUCUGCAGUCCAACAGGAAGGUUUGAUGAGGUCACAGAAGAAUCGGUCUUUUUCACCCAGAAAGCUCGCAGGCUCCCCGGCCACGGUUGCAAACGGCUUCCUGGUUUUGCGAGACCGAACAAAG